GGUCACAUGGUGUAACGGUUAGCACAUCGGAUUUUGAUCAGAUAUGAGUUCCGGGGACCUGGGUUCGACUCCCAGUGAGACCU
rnacentral:tRNA from 1 species